rnacentral:rRNA from 1 species
CCUACGGGAGGCAGCAGUGAGGAAUAUUGGUCAAUGGACGAGAGUCUGAACCAGCCAAGUAGCGUGAAGGAUGACUGCCCUAUGGGUUGUAAACUUCUUUUAUAUGGGAAUAAAACGUUCCACGUGUGGGUUUUUGCAUGUACCAUAUGAAUAAGGAUCGGCUAACUCCGUGCCAGCAGCCGCGGUAAUACGGAGGAUGCGGGGGUUAUCCGGAUUUAUUGGGUUAAAAGGGUGCGUAGGCGGGGCGUUAAGUCAGUGGUGAAAUUGUGGGGCUAAACCCCAAACCGCCAUUGAAACUGGCGCUCUUGAGUAGAAGAGAAGUAUGCGGAAUGCGUGGUGUAGCGGUGAAAUGCAUAGAUAUCACGCAGAACCCCGAUUGCGAAGGCAGCAUGCCGGCUUCCGACUGACGCUGAAGCACGAAAGCGUGGGGAUCGAACAGGAUUAGAUACCCCAGUAGUC